rnacentral:rRNA from 1 species
AGUGAACGCUGGCGGUAGGCCUAACACAUGCAAGUCGAACGGCAGCACAGUAAGAGCUUGCUCUUACGGGUGGCGAGUGGCGGACGGGUGAGGAAUACAUCGGAAUCUACUUUUUCUUGGGGGAUAACGUAGGGAAACUUACGCUAAUACCCCAUACGACCUACGGGUGAAAGCAGCGGAUCUUCGGACCUUGCGCGAUUGAAUGACCCGAUGUCGGAUUAGCUAGUUGGCGGGGUAAAGGCCCACCAAGGCGACGAUCCGUAGCUGGUCUGAGAGGAUGAUCAGCCACACUGGAACUGAGACACGGUCCAGACUCCUACGGGAGGCAGCAGUGGGGAAUAUUGGACAAUGGGCGCAAGCCUGAUCCAGCCAUACCGCGUGGGUGAAGAAGGCCUUCGGGUUGUAAAGCCCUUUUGUUGGGAAAGAAAAGCAGCAGGUUAAUACCCCGCUGUUCUGACGGUACCCAAAGAAUAAGCACCGGCUAACUUCGUG